rnacentral:rRNA from 1 species
UACGUAGGGGGCAAGCGUUGUCCGGAAUCAUUGGGCGUAAAGAGCGUGUAGGCGGUCCGGUAAGUCGGUUGUGAAAGCCCCUUGCUCAACAAGGGAACUGCCAUUGAUACUGAUGGUCUUGAGUACAAGUGAGGUUGGCGGAAUGUGUGGUGUAGCGGUGAAAUGCUUAGAUAUCACACAGAACACCGAUUGCGAAGGCAGCUGGCCAACUUGUAACUGACGCUGAGGGACGAAAGUGUGGGGAUCAAGCAGG